rnacentral:rRNA from 1 species
AUUGAACGCUGGCGGCAGGCCUAACACAUGCAAGUCGAGCGGAUGACGGGAGCUUGCUCCUUGAUUCAGCGGCGGACGGGUGAGUAAUGCCUAGGAAUCUGCCUGGUAGUGGGGGACAACGUUUCGAAAGGAACGCUAAUACCGCAUACGUCCUACGGGAGAAAGCAGGGGACCUUCGGGCCUUGCGCUAUCAGAUGAGCCUAGGUCAGAUUAGCUUGUUGGUGAGGUAAUGGCUCACCAAGGCGACGAUCCGUAACUGGUCUGAGAGGAUGGUCAGUCACACUGGAACUUAGACACGGUCCAGACUCCUACGGGAGGCAGCAGUGGGGAAUAUUGGAAAAUGGGCGAAAGCCUGAUCCAGCCAUGCCGCGUGUGUGAAGAAGGUCUUCGGAUUGUAAAGCACUUUAAGUUGGGAGGAAGGGUUGUAGAUUAAUACUCUGCAAUUUUGACGUUACCGACGGAAUAAGCACCGGCUAACUCUGUGCCAGCCGCCGCGGUAAGAC